GCCUGAGUGGUGAAACUGGUAUACACGCAUGAUUCAGGUUCAUGUGCCGUAAGGCGUGAGGGUUCGACUCCCUCCUCAGGCA
rnacentral:tRNA from 1 species